UGGAAUCGAGCCUGCAAGCCUUCAGUCCGAGGGCAGAUGCUCUAUCCACUGAACCAAACGGGCUGGGGCUGGCCAGUGCUUCUUUGAAGGAGCGGGUGCCUUCCACCUCUGACCAGUUCCCAGAAGCUUCUCUCAGAACGUGUUCCCUGAGCCAUCCAGCUUUUCUUUUAAAUUUCAAAUUUGAUUUUUGAAAUAGAUGGUAAAAUUGGAAGAGUCACAGCGUGCUGGAGCCGGGAGGAACCUUCCAGAUCCCUCUGGGCUGGGCUGCUUAUCUCAACAGCAGCAGCCCCACAUCUCUGAGGCAGCAAAGCUAAAAGCUGUCGUUUCAAGGUGGGGAAACAGGCCCAGGAAAGGACUCUAGCAAGAGGGUGACUGAAUGGAGACCCGGAUGCAGGUGUCCUGACCUGUUCCAUGCCCCAUGCCCUGGGCCAUGCUGUGGGUUGGCACAGGAGGGGCCAGCCUCGUGGGCUGCCCACCAGCCAGCAUUUAUCUGGACUUACAUUUUUGGGCUGAGCACUGCCUCGCCAGCCCCCUGGAGCUGGAUGAGGGCUACCCUCUGACUUUGGACUCAUCCAGUCUGCCGGUGCUGUGCGCCUUGCUCUGGUGCACUUGGGGCAGCGUCCAGAGCAGCAGGCAUGGGGUCCAAAGCCACUCACCGGAUGUCUGUGGGGUGGGAGAGGUGGCCGGGCACUGGCUGAGAAGCAGAGGCAACCUGAGUUCAGCAUUAGGACACCAGUGGGCCAGCAGAUCCCUGCCUGGUCCUGAUCACAGAGGCAUCCUUAAUUUGACCUUGGAAUCUAGCGUGAAUUUCUGUGGUUGUGUAAGGGUCAGAGCUGGGGUGGGGAUCCUCGUGGGGAAGUUAAGGGCUGACAAGUGCAGUGAUAGGUCCUAACAUUCCUAGCCCUUUGCA